UGAGUACGAGAUGCUACGGCAUCGAAGCAGUCUAUGUCAUACUUCCAAGAAAAGCUUGCACUGUCAGAAACAGAUAAUGCCUGUACCAUAACCGACACAGGUGGGUAGGUAGAGUAUACUAAGGGGCGCGAGAUAACUCUCUCUAAGGAACUCUGCAAAAUGACUCCGUAACUUCGGGAGAAGGAGUGCCUUAUUUUUAAGGUUGCAAUAACAAGAUCCAAGCAACUGUUUACCAAAAACACAGGUCUCCGCUAAGUCGUAAGACGAUGUAUGGGGGCUGACGCCUGCCCAGUGCCAGAAGGUUAAAGAAGUCGGUUAGCAUUCGCGAAGCUGGUAACUGAAGCCCUGGUGAACGGCGGCCGUAACAAUAACGGUCCUAAGGUAGCGAAAUUCCUUGUCGGGUAAGUUCCGACCCGCACGAAAGGCGUAAUGAUUUGGAUACUGUCUCGGAGAGGGGCUCGGUGAAAUGGACUUGUCUGUGAAGAUGCGGACUACCUGCACCUGGACAGAAAGACCCUAUGAAGCUUUACUGUAACUUGAAAUUGAAAUUGGACUUUAUUUGCGCAGUAUAGGUGGGAGGCGUUGAAAAUAUUCUUGCGGGAAUAUUGGAGCCAUCAGUGAGAUACCACUCUUGUAAUGUUAGAUUUCUAACUUUAUAUCAUUAUCUGGUUAAAGAACAGUUUCAGGCGGGCAGUUUGACUGGGGCGGUCGCCUCCCAAAUGGUAACGGAGGCGCACAAAGGUUUCCUCUGAACGGGUAGAAAUCGUAUCUCUAGUGUAAAGGCAUAAGGAAGCUUGACUGUGAGACCUACAAGUCGAGCAGGGACGAAAGUCGGUCUUAGUGAUCUGACGGUGCUGAGUGGAAAGGCCGUCACUCAACGGAUAAAAGUUACUCUAAGGAUAACAGGCUGAUCUCCCCCAAGAGUUCACAUCGACGGGGAGGUUUGGCACCUCGAUGUCGGCUCAUCGCAUCCUGGGGCGGUAGUACGUCCCAAGGGUUGGGCUGUUCGCCCAUGAAAGCGGUACGCGAGCUGGGUUCAGAACGUCGUGAGACAGUUCGGUCCAUAUCCGGUGUAGGCGUUAGAAUAUUGAGAGGAGCCUUCUUUAGUACGAGAGGACCGAGAAGGACAUACCUCUGGUGUACCAGUUAUCGUGCCAACGGUAAACGCUGGGUAGCUAUGUAUGGAGUGGAUAACCGCUGAAAGCAUCUAAGUGGGAAGCCCACCUCAAGAUAAGUAUUCUCAU
rnacentral:rRNA from 1 species